AGAACGAACGCUGGCGGCAUGCCUAAUACAUGCAAGUCGAACGAAGGCUUCGGCCUUAGUGGCGCACGGGUGCGUAACGCGUGGGAAUCUGCCCCUUGGUUCGGAAUAACAGUUGGAAACGACUGCUAAUACCGGAUGAUGACGAAAGUCCAAAGAUUUAUCGCCAAGGGAUGAGCCCGCGUAGGAUUAGCUAGUUGGUGAGGUAAAGCUCACCAAGGCGACGAUCCUUAGCUGGUCUGAGAGGAUGAUCAGCCACACUGGGACUGAGACACGGCCCAGACUCCGUACGGGAGCAGCAGGUAGGAUGUGACAGUGGGACAAGCCUGAUCCAGCAAUGCCGUGUGAGUGA
rnacentral:rRNA from 1 species